GGCGAGGUGGCUUAGUGGUUAAGAGCGCCGACUACUCUUCCGAAGGUCCUGAGUUCAAAUCCCAGCAACUAUA
rnacentral:tRNA from 1 species